rnacentral:rRNA from 1 species
UACGAAGGUGGCAAGCGUUGUUCGGAUUUACUGGGCGUACAGGGAGCGUAGGCGGUUGGAUAAGCCCUCCGUGAAAUCUCCAGGCUUAACCUGGAAAGUGCAGAGGGGACUGUUCAGCUAGAGGAUGGGAGAGGAGCGCGGAAUUCCCGGUGUAGCGGUGAAAUACGUAGAGAUCGGGAGGAAGGCCGGUGGCGAAGGCAGCUCGCUGGGACGUUACUGACGCUGAGACGCGAAAGCGUGGGGAGCAAACAGG